CUCUUACUCCCAGUUUGGAGCUGGCCACGGACAGCAGGUCCUCCAGGGACCCGUACACGGCCACCACCUGUUCGACGACACCGACCAUCAGCUCAGUGUGGCGCCACACAUCCAACAAAAUGUCCGACAUUAACGUUAUUUUGCAGAUCUCCAGUACAUGAUGUGUACUCACCAGAACGGUGCGCUGAAGAUUGGAGGGCAUCCGUCCGAACAGAAGCCGUCCCACCAGACUGGCGAUGGAGGGAAAGAUGAGAGCUCCACACAGAGUCCUGGACACAGAGAGCGGGAGCUUCCCCCUGUAGGAGUAUCUCUGCCACAGUCUCACUAAAUAAUCCUCCCAGCGGAUCAUCUUCCCGAGGACCAGCACCACCGGGAUGGUGGGCAGACCCAUGAGCAGGAACAGCGGGUCGGCCCGCUCCAUCAC